AACGAACGCUGGCGGCGCGCUUAACACAUGCAAGUCGAACGAGAAGGCGUAGCAAUACGCUUGUACAGUGGCGAACGGGUGAGUAAUACGUGGGCGACCUACCCUCGAGUGGGGAAUAACCCGCCGAAAGGCGGGCUAAUGCCGCGUACGCUUCCAUCUUUAUGGAGGUGGAAGGAAAGCCGUGCCGUGGGCACGGCGCUCAAGGAUGGGCUCACGUCCUAUCAGCUUGUUGGAGGGUAACGGCCUACCAAGGCUCCGACGGGUAGCUGGUCUGAGAGGACGAUCAGCCACACUGGCACUGCGACACGGGCCAGACUCCUACGGGAGCAGCAGUGAGGAAUAUUGCGCAAUGGGCGAAAGCCUGACGCAGCGACGCCGC
rnacentral:rRNA from 1 species